CGAUGGAGGACGCGGUGUCCGCUCGGUCCCUCCCCGGUGAGCUCCGCACACUUCGGUGAAAUGUCAGCGUUGACCCAGCGGCGCCGCUUUCUCUUCCUGAUUCACCCCCGGCAGCCUCAGCUCGCCACCGCCAUGACAGUGUAGCCGUUCAGCCAGCGGAGCAUGCGCAGUGAGGAGCUCUGGCUGCUUCAGCUCGAGGGCAGACAUGACUUCUGGAGGGACUCCAGAGACUUGGGUCCGGACCUUCUCACACAUGCACAAAGCAGAAGGAGGUUCUCUGCUCCGAAGAGUUCGCAACAGCAACAAACCGUAGGAUCCAGUUUCUGCCGACUUUAAACUAGGGGGGCCAGUCGGACAAAGUAUGGAGGCUCUCUCUCACUCGGCUGUUUGCUCUGACACAUACAGCCCCUGCAGGGUGACUUCAUGUUUGUUCUGCAUGGACGGCUCAGCAGCCGUGAGUGUUGUUGUCCCAGAGGCAGCUGGCGUCACCGUUGCCACUGACCUCGCAGUAAACUGUAGCUGAGCCCGCGGGGACCCUGGGAGUCAUGGAAGCCAGCAGCACCACCCCAGAGACGCAGGGGCCUCGUCUCUGAUGUAAUGACCUGAAAUCAGCAGACUCGUUUGCUGCAGCUAAAAUGUAGACUUCCCAUUAUUUUUCUAACAGAGCUCUGGAGAGAUAAUGAUCAUCUUUAGCUCUCUUCCUGCAUUCCUUUGUUUCAAAGUCUUAUUGUCCAAGAAUAAGAUUAUGAUUUCUGCACGUAACCUAGUAUCUAAAAUAACAGUUCAAUCAAUGAGUGAUUGCAAAACACUGCAUUUUCAGAUUGCUUCUGACUCAAGCUAUCAAGAUACUGAAAUACGAGAAAGGUGCAUUAAUGGUGACAAAAGAAAACUCCAAACACACCAAACCUUCCAUUCAAGCCAUUAAUAUACAAUUGAUGUCUGUGCAAACAUUACAGCAGACAUUCAAAUUUAGUUGUUUGUGCAGUCUCAUCCCUCAAAAUUACAUUUCCUGUGUUUACUUCACCAACUGUCUGAUCAACGGUCAUUUAACACCCUGAGGAAGAGUAAUAAACAUGAAAUAUCACAUCCCAGCUGUCUACCUGCAGUAUCUGUAUGACUACCCCUUACAAACACUGUAUGAACAGAUUGUGUUUUUUUGUAUUUUUCAUUUUACACUCUGUUGCCAGUUGAGGAAACAUUUAAAUACUCUCAUAAAUACAUUAUGACUCUACAGCACCAUAUACUACAUCAUUUAAAAUGAUUGUGAAGUUCAAUCAACUCUUCUUAACGUCAUGAAAGUGAAAUUUAUUGCAGGGCUGUUGUUUUAAAUUUAGGAAGGGUAAACUGCCACUCGUAUUUUACCAACAGACAACAUUCUCCCCUUUGUUAUAACAAACAGAGUGGGUGGAUAACAUGCUACACACCUUCAUGACGUGAACACGCCUAAAGACUGGCUUGUCCUGAUGGGGGGUGUCAAGGAUCAAGGAAUUUCUUUCAUGAUCAUGGCACCGUUACAAGUUACCUGGAUUUAAAAAAAAAUGCUUUAUAUGUCCAA